rnacentral:rRNA from 1 species
GACGAACGCUGGCGGCGCGCCUAACACAUGCAAGUCGAACGGAGUCAAGAGGAGCUUGCUUUUCUUGACUUAGUGGCGAACGGGGGAGUAACGCGUGAGUAACCUGCCCUGGAGUGGGGGACAACAGUUGGAAACGACUGCUAAUACCGCAUAAGCCCACGGAUCCGCAUGGAUCUGCGGGAAAAGGAUUUAUUCGCUUCAGGAUGGACUCGCGUCCAAUUGGCUAGUUGGUGAGGUAACGGCCCACCAAGGCGACGAUUGGUAGCAGGACUGAGAGGUUGAACGGCCACAUUGAGACUGAGACACGGCACAGGCUCCUACGGGAGGAAGCAGUGGGGAAUAUUGCACAAUGGGGGAAAACCUGAUGCAGCGACGCCGCGUGGAGGAAGAAGGUUUUCGGAUUGUAAACUCCUGUCGUUAGGGACGAUAAUGACGGUACCUAACAAGAAAGCACCGGCUAACUACGUG